AAUACCUCUGUUCUUGGAUGGUGACUAGGAUUUUUCUUCUUUCAUUUUGAAGUCCAGCCUUUGUUUUCAUCCGUGUAAGGAUCCUUGGAUGAGUAGAGUGACCAGUUAUGACUCUUUUUGGCGACCUGGUCCUUCAUCUUCCCUGUGGUGAAAAGUAAAAACAUAACAACAGGCUAAAACGAAUCCAUCGUCAUACUCACAUCGAAGACUGUUGGAUAUUUUAUCUGCAUAACCGUCGAUUUUGAAGUUUUCAGGCCACAUUUUUGAAGUCCAGCCUUUGUUAACAUCCGUGUAAGGAUCCUUGGAUGAGAAGAGUGACCAAUUAUGACUCUUUUUGGAGACCUGGUCCUUCAUCUUCCCCGUGGUGAAAAGUAAAAACAUAACAACAGGCUAAAACGAAUCCAUCAUUAUACUCACAUCGAAGACUGUUGGAUAUUUUAUCUGCAUAACCGUCGAUUUUGAAGUUUUCAGGCCACAUUGUAAUCAGAUUCCAAAAUAAUGACAAGAUGCAAUUUGACUGUGAAGAAUAGCAUCAAUAUCUUCUUAAAAUAUUCGUUCUAUUAAUUUUUUUCCUCUGAUUUUCUGAAAAGAUUACAGUUUAUGAUAAUCAUAAUCUGGUCAUUAAUAUCCAAAAAAUCUUAGCAUAAGACCAUUUGUAUGUGUGCAUCAUUAAAACAUAAACAUAUUUGUUGUCUCUUAACAUAAUAAUGAUCUUCUGACUUGUCUGGUUGUCUUUGCAUUAGGUCCAUUGC